rnacentral:rRNA from 1 species
UACCUGCAGCUCAAGUGGUGACCGUUAUUAUUGGGCCUAAAACGUUCGUAGCCGGUUUAUUAAAUGCCUGGGUAAAUCGUGUAGCUUAACUAUACGAAUUCCGGGUAGACUGAUAAACUUGAGACUGGGAGAAGCUAGAGGUACUCCUGGGGUAGAGGUGAAAUUCUGUAAUCCUAGGGGGACCACCGGUGGCGAAGGCGUCUAGCUAGAACGGGUCUGACGGUGAGGAACGAAGCCCUGGGGCGCAAACGGGAUUAGAUACCCCGGUAGUCCAGGGUGUAAACGCUGCUUGCUUGAUGUUAGUUGGGCCCCGAGCUCAAUUAGUGUCGGAGUGAAGAUGUUAAGCAAGCUGCCUGGGAAGUACGAUCGCAAGAUUGAAACUUAAAGGAAUUGGCGGGGGAGCACAGCAACGGGUGGAGCGUGCGGUUU